UGGAAUCUUGGGUGCAAGUGCUGUGA
rnacentral:piRNA from 1 species